rnacentral:rRNA from 1 species
UACGUAGGGUGCGAGCGUUUAAUCGGAAUUACUGGGCGUAAAGCGUGCGCAGGCGGUUGUGCAAGACAGAUGUGAAAUCCCCGGGCUUAACCUGGGAACUGCAUUUGUGACUGCACAGCUGGAGUGCGGCAGAGGGGGAUGGAAUUCCGCGUGUAGCAGUGAAAUGCGUAGAUAUGCGGAGGAACACCGAUGGCGAAGGCAAUCCCCUGGGCCUGCACUGACGCUCAUGCACGAAAGCGUGGGGAGCAAACAGG